AGGAUGAACGCUGGCGGUCUGCUUAACACAUGCAAGUCGAACGGAGUACCUCGGUACUUAGUGGCGGACGGGUGAGUAACGCGUGAGAAUCUGCCCUUAGGUCGGGGACAACCAUUGGAAACGAUGGCUAAUACCGGAUAAGCCGAGAGGUAAAAGAUUAAUUGCCUAGGGAAGAGCUCGCGUCUGAUUAGCUAGUUGGUGAGGUAAAGGCUCACCAAGGCAUCGAUCAGUAGCUGGUCUGAGAGGAUGAUCAGCCACACUGGGACUGAGACACGGCCCAGACUCCUACGGGAGGCAGCAGUGGGGAAUUUUCCGCAAUGGGCGAAAGCCUGACGGAGCAAGACCGCGUGAGGGAGGAAGGCUCUUGGGUUGUAAACCUCUUUUCUGGGGAAGAACAAAUGACGGUACCCAAGGAAUCAGCAUCGGCUAACUCCGCGCCAGCGGCCGC
rnacentral:rRNA from 1 species